UAUUGAUAACUGAUCCAGGUCCAAGUUCAAACUUAGGGGACAGAAAAACAGCUGAUUUGAUUUUAUCUUCGGCCUUCACAAAGGAACUUGAGCAUGUUGUACCAAACAAUAGUAGAAGUAUUGCCUCUAAAAAUACAAAAUCUCUAGAUACAAAACACAUGCUGAUCUGUCAUGGAGUUUUUUUAUUAGUAAUUCAUAAUUAUUGAUUAAAACAAAACAAAACAUCUUUCCUUUAAAAUAUUAUUAACUACAGUACAAAGUAAACGAGGUCGUGGAUUAAUACUUAAAAAAUAUUUAAAAAUCUUUUUUUUUUUUUUUUUGUGGCCGGGUUUCGAACUCCAUAUCUUGUAUAUUUUAUGUAUUGUCAAUAUCAAUUGAUCUAAACUCACGAGGACAAAUAUUUAAAAAUCUAACGACGAAAUAUGUCGUUUUUUUUUAUUUUUUUAUUUUUUUAUAGUAAAUGUUAAUAAUCUUCAUCAUUUUUAUAAUUGAAAUAAUAUUUCUUUUUAGUAAGUAACAUAAUUGCUAGACUUACACACUAACGGUGUAGAGAAGUGGAAAAUCUUUAGUUUAAACCUUUGCCCCUGUAGUUAAAUGUUCUUAGAACUAUCAAUUAAGCUGCAUUUAUAAGAUUGAAAUAAUAAUUUAACUGAUAUUCAUUUUAUUUAAAACAACGAAAAAUAAAUAUUUAACUUGUAUUCAACCAACAUUAAUCAAGUCACUGUUUUAGCCGUAAAUAAGACAAAUGUCACAAAUUUUUAUUUCUAAAUAGUGUUGUUAAUAAUCGUUAAUAUUUCAGAUAAUCUUAAGCAUCGGUUCAUGAUAUAAAGAAAAAUUUGUCCAUAAAAUUUCCGUGAGCUUAGAUCAGUUGGUAGGGAUAUUGCAUGUUAUAUGUAGGGGCCGGGGUUCGAACUCCGAACACCCCAUUUCUACACAUUUAAUUGUGUGAGCUCUAUCCACUAGGCUACUUGACAUAAAGAAAAAUUUGUCCAUAAAAACACUCGACUGACAUAAACUAAUGAUCAAAACACUAGUAUUUUUUUAUUACUCCCUCUCACCAUUUAUAUGACAUCUUUUCCAUUUCUUUUUAAAAAUAUUUCCACUAUUUCUUUGUCAUGUAAUUUAAGACUUUUUAAAAAAAAUAUUAAGAAUUUUUUUUGAGAAAGGGGAAUCUAUUAUUAAUAAGUGGCACUAAAAUAUUUUUUUAAUGGCAAAAUAUAUUACUCUCUCCCUUUUAUAUCUUAAACACCAUUUUAUUAGAGCUAAAGGUUGCUUACAUAUAAGGGGAUUAAAUCCCAAGUAUUACACCAAAAAGAGAAAAAUAAAAACACCAAAAAAAACUCCAAAGAAAAACAAUCAGCACCCUUAAAAUGUCGGAUCACCUAACAAUAGCUCCUAAAAAACCAACACCACCGACAAUGGACAAUUAAGCAACCGAUAAUGAUUUUGCACUAAAGUAUUUUUACAAUUGUCUUCGAGAAGACUCAAAUUAAUACCUUAAAAUCAUGUACAAUAUCAAACUUUUACCACUAAACUAGCACAUCGAAGUAUUUUUUCACAAAAUUUCAUGUGCAUUGAUAAUUUUUUUUUAUAGAAAUGCUCCCUUUUAAUUUACCAAUAAAAAAAUAGAUACAUAUUGUCUUUUAUGAUAUUAAUAGUUUAUAGGGAAAAAUAUGUAACACGACACACAUUUCAGUCAAACUUACUACUCCAUAUAUAAUUUUUCUUAGGCUUAAAUGCACUUUUGACCCCCUAUGUUUGCUAUGGUAGAAAUUUUAGCCUCCUAUUAAAAAAAAAAAAAAAAUUCAGCCCCCUAACUUCAUCUGCUUUUGCAACCCAUAAGCCCCCUCUGAUUUUGACUUGGUCAAAGGUUACUGUGUAAUUUAAAAUAAAAAUAACAAAAAAAAGAAAUUAAAAAUAAUUAAUAGCCUUAGGAUUAAAAAUCGGUGAUCAAGAUUUAAAGAACUCACAUGCUCCCUCUCUUAACUAAUUUUCCCUUCUCCACUCAUUACUACUUCAUGUUCUCCUUCUGAACAACACAAACCCACCCAGAAAAGUCAAGCUCGAUCAGUCUCCAUAUCAUCAACACAUAACCAGAAACUAGAAAACUCCAUCACCUUCAUAUCCAUCGACACAAAACCAAAAAACCUAGAACAAGGACAAGAACAUCAUCUUCAUAACUCAUCACCCCAAAAAAAUCAAACCCUUCGAUUCUAAAUUCAAAUUCAUCAACUAAUCAAACCCAAAAAAACUCAAAGGUGCGAAUAAAUACUCAUGGUGAGUGGCUUGUGGUAAAUCGUAAAAAGAAGAAAACUCCACCAAUUACAGUGAAGAAAAAAUAGAUGGGACAAUUAAUUAGAAACUCAAAAAACUUGGGUGCAUUCAAGUUGCAAUUAAAGGAGGAAUUAAGUCAAAUGAUAAUUAUGAAGAAGGAAGGGAUAAGGCGCAAAUCAUGUCCGAUGGAGGAAGUGAGAAACCACAAAAAACGUGGUGAUGUGGAACCACAAUAGCAGAAUUUUAUGGAACACCGCGCCGGUGUUCUCAACCUUCCAUUAUUUUUUGUUUGAAAUUGAUUUUUCUAAUCUAGAUCUGGAUGAAAAAUAGAGGAAGAAAGAGAAGCGAUUGAAGAGGUGACGGUGGCCGUGUUUUACAUAAAGGGUGACCCUUUAGUGAAGGGAAGUGGCGGUGGAUAGUCAUGGUGGUGGUGGAAUUUCUCUAUGAAGAUGAUGUGAGAACAAGAGAAUAGAAGAAGAAAUGGGGUUUAUUAGAAAGAAGGGACACAAUAACACUUACAUUGAAUCUUUUAAUGUUGACCAUUGAUUUAAUCCUAAGGCUAUUAAUUAUUCUUAUCAUUCUUUUUCAUUUAAAUUUAAUUUAGUAAUAGCCUUUGAUCAGGUCAAAAUUAGAGGGGGUCAAAGAAGGGUGAAGUUAGGGGGCUGAAAAGUGAUUUUUUUAAUAGGGGACCAAAAUUGUUACCAUGACAAAUAUAGGGGCCAAAAAUGCAUUUAAACCUUUUUGUUAAUAUUCAUAAUUUUAUGUAGAGGUUCCUGCUUCCUAUGAUAAGGGACGAAUGAAGUAUAGACAAAGCCAUGAAUAACAUUAGACGCUGAUUAGAGAAACGUGAGUGAAAAAGGGUGGAGUAUAGUGCAGGUAUAUUGAAGAACAAAUAUAUGAAAAACUAAGGGGGGUGUAUUGAAUUGGGAUUUCAAGGGAUUUUAAAAGACUUUUUUAGAAUGAAAAAGUCUAGUGGUAUUCAAUCAAGACUUUUAUAAAAUUUAAACAAAUCUUGUGGUAUUCAAUCAAGACAAUCAUGACUUUUUUUUUAAGGCAACAAAAUCCGUUGGUAUUCAAUUGAGAUUUCUCAUGACUUAUGAAUUGUCCAUUGGUAUUCAAAAGUCUAUAGAUUUUGAUGGAUUCUUGGAUGGAAUGGAUUUUGUGAGACUUUUUAGUUAAAAAUAUCUCUUCCAACAAUCUCACAGAAACCCUUGAGAUUUUGCCAUUGUCUUGCAAACCUUUCUGCCGUCAUCUUCCAUGCCAGUUUUUUCUUUUCUCUAUCAAAUUCUUCAACUUCCAUUUCUUGUGUCUGAUUCUCUUUUUUUUUUUCCAUUACUUUUUUUUUGUUUCAAUUACUUUUUUUUAUCUGUAUACUCUUUUUGUCCAUAUCAAUUACUAUUAUUUGUUUUUGUCUGAUUCUUGCCAAUGCAAUUUUUUUUGUUCGGUUAAUUUUUUUUGUUCAAUACUAUGCUAUGCUAAUCUUCCCCGUCCCCAUCGUCCCUCAGAUUAUUUUUUCAUUGGCAAAUUCGUCAACGCCGAUUGCUUUUUUCCUUCCCACGUUCAACGGUGUCGAUGGAACGCGAUUAACCAAUCGUCCUUACUUUUUUUUUUUUUUUUUUUUUUUUUUAUCAAAUCAAUGUUUUUUACUCAAAAGCAUAAUUAUUUUUAUAGUUUUUGUCUUCUUUUUGUUCGAUUAAUUUUUUUUGUCUGAUUCUUGUCAAUGCAAUUUUUUUUUGUUUGAUACUUGAUUUUUGUUUAUUAUUAUUAUGAGUGUUAAGUUUAUUAUUGGUAUUUUUUUUCUUGUUAUUCCUAUUGAAUAUAUAUAUUGGUAUAUAGUUACUAUACUUUUGGCAAUUAGGAAAAAAAAACUGUUCUUGUGAAAUAACUAGUUUGUUAUAUAUGUAUAUAUUAGUGAUUAAAUGGGGGAUUCACAACAAGAAAAUAAUAGAGGGAAGGGUAAGGACAAAGAUGGCUAUGUAGCUUGGACCAUGGAGGAAACUAGUGAGUUGUUGUACCUUUUGGUGGAUGCUAUAAAUAGAGGGUUACGUGAUGCCAAUGGGUCCCUUAGUAAACAAAAUGUAGAGCGAGCUAUCCUUCCUCAGCUCAAUGCCAAAACUGAAUCACAUAAAACUUAUAAUCAUUACUUGAGCCGAAUGAAGUGGUUUAGAAAUCAAUACAACAAGAUGUCAACGUUUAUGCGUAACAACUCUGGUUUUGGAUGGGAUUCCGUUGCGAAGACUUACACGGCUACUGAAGAAGUAUGGAAUAAUUACUUAAAGGUGAGCUAAGUUCAAAAUCGUUUAAAAGUAUGAUUGAUUUUUAUUUUUUUUUUGUAAUAUUUAUAGUAUAUUAAUAGUGAAUUUUUUUUGUUUUUUAGUCCCAUCCAUCUCACAAAAAUCUUAAAGGAAAAAGUAUGAUUGAUUAUGAUUAUUUGAAGAUUGUUGUUGGAGGUGGAGUGUCUAGCGGAAAUAAUUCUAUAGCAUUAGACCCUGAGGAUACUGAUGCAACAACUUUUGAGCAAGAAAGUGAAAGUUUUGGAAUGGAAGAUUUUUCAUAUGAUCCCAAUAGUGAUACAUUCAUAGCACCAGAUAACUUUUGGUUGUACUUUUGUUAAAGUAUUUGGUUUGCUUUUUUUUUUUUGUUUAACUAAUGGUUGUAUUUGGAUUGAAGAAUUUAGUUCUGUAUGUUUUGUGAGACUAAUGUGGUUAAAAUUUAAUUAUAUUUUCAUUAUAGUAUUUUAUAUAUUACUUUGCAUUGACUCUUACACUACCUUAAAUAUUGUCUUAUAAUCAUGGCAAUGACAUAGAGGACGAAGAAAUUGAUUAUGAAGGAAUGAGUGAAGAUAUAGAUACUGAAGCUAUAGAUGAUGAUGAUGAUGAUGACGAAGAUGAUGAUGAUACAAAUGAUGAAGAAACAGAUGAAGAAUUGUAUGAAGCCAUAUACAUGUAUAUGAUGGCAAUUCAUGCUUUAAUGCACGUGGUAAAUCAGUUUUUGAAUAUGAUGCGUGGUGAACAUGUUGAACGUCCAUUAACUCGACGACGAAUUACAAGUAAGGGAUAUGACUAUAUACAUAAGUCAUUGAAUGGGGAUUCUGAAAUCUUUCGACAAGUAUAUAGAAUGUAUCCUGAUGUAUUCCGAAAGUUAUGCAUGAUUAUAAGAGAAAAAACACCUUUGGUGGAUACAAGAUUUAUUUGUAUUGAAGAAAUGCUUGCGUCGUUCUUACAGAUUGUCGGUCAGAAUACUCGAUAUUGUAUAAUUAGAAAUACAUUUGGCCGAUCACAAUUUGCUGCAAGUGAAAAUUUUCACAAGAUUUUGAAGGCUUUGAACUCAAUAGCACCUGAUUUGAUGGCUAAACCAACCUCAAGCGUGCCUGCAAAAAUAAGGGAAAGCACAAGAUUUUAUCCUUACUUCAAGGUAUGUGAUCAUUAUCUAAUUAUAAGAGAAUUGUAAAUAUAAUCAUCUUUAUUAUAAUAAUAUUUUUUUUAUGGUUAUAUAUGAAUACACUUUUAGGAUUGCAUUGGAGCUAUUGAUGGUACGCAUAUUCCUGCAUUGGUAAGAGGACGAGAUGUAAGCAGUUAUCGUGAUCGUCAUGGAAGGAUAUCACAAAAUGUAUUAGCUGCUUGUAAUUUUGAUUUGGAGUUCAUGUACGUUCUCAGCGGGUGGGAGGGUUCAGCCCAUGAUUCCAAGUUGCUAAAUGAUGCUUUGAAAAGGAAGAAUGGACUAAAAGUGCCCCACGGUAAGUAAUUAAUUUUUAAAAUAUACUGAUGUUGUUUUUCUUUCACUUUCAUACUUAUUUUAUAUGUAUUUUAAAUUUAAUUAGGUAAAUAUUUUCUGGUGGAUUGCGGAUUUGCUAAUCGACGCAAAUUUUUAGCUCCACAUCGAGGUGUGCGAUAUCAUCUACAAGAUUUUGCAGGUCACGGUAAUGACCCUGAAAAUGAAAAAGAGUUAUUCAAUCUUCGGCAUGCGUCUUUAAGGAAUGUGGUUGAGAGAAUAUUUGGUAUUUUUAAAUCGCGUUUCACAAUUUUUAAGUCAGCACCUCCAUUUUUGUUUAAGACACAAGCAGAACUUGUGUUGGCAUGUGCAGCACUUCAUAACUUUCUUCGCAAAGAAUGUCGUUCCGAUGAAUUUCCAAUUGAACCUUCUAACGAGUCUUCAUCUUCAUCUUCAAUGUUACCUAUUCAUGAAGACAAUAAUGAUGAACUCAAUGUUCAAACACAAGAGCAAGAACGAGAAGAUGCUAAUAUAUGGAGGACUAAUUUAGGUUUAGAUAUGUGGAGAGAUGUACAAGGAAUACCGUGAUACUACUCUAAACGGUGAUUCAGUGAAUCACAUUUCCCUUUUCAUAUUGGGAGAUGCUAAUAUCUAAAGAUAAUCUUGUUUUAAGAAACUUCAUUACCAGCAAGACAUAUUUUGCUUUUUUCCUAGUUUGUUAUUUACGAAAUAUAUUUUGUUUUAUCUUUUUGUUAUGCAGUUAUUUGUUUUUCUCUUUUUGAUGUACCGGUACAAGCUCGAUUUUGAAUCUAGAGAUCACUUUGUUUCGGAAAAAAAAAAUUAUUUGUUUACUAUUUCUAUCAUUCACGGUUGUAAGUUUGUUCUUUUUCCGCUAAAGUUCAUUGAAUCCUUUGAAAUAUUAAAAUCUCAUAAAAUCCUUUGAAAUCCUUAAAAUUCAGUGUGAUAAAUCCCAUAAAAUCCUUUGAAAUCCUUAAAAGUCAGUUUGAUAAAUCCCUUAAAGUCUUUUAAAAUCUUACAGAAUCAAUACAAUCCCACAAAGUCUUUUAAAAUCUUAAAGACUUUUUUUGUUAAAAAAGUCUUUUAAAAUCCUAAUCCAAUACACCCCCCUAAAGUAAAAAAAUGUAACUUCACACCAAAUUAAAUUGAGAUAUGAGUCAUUUGAAACAAACGUGUAAAGUUGUGAGAAAAAAAAUUAAUGAACACAAAAUUAAGAGAAUAGAACCUGGAUACGACAGAGUUUGAGCUUUGUUUGAUGAGAAAAUUAGAGUGUGGUGUUAAACUAGAUUCACUUAUACUUAUAGAUGAAACAAAUUCAAACUAGAAGAGAAGAUGUAUAGGGCUUGAGUUGCGUAUCUCACAUGAGAAAGUUCUUCACAGUCACACUAGUCAUUAUAUGCACGUUUUCUUCAUAAUUUAUUUUGAAAAUUGUUUUUCUCUAUUUUAAAAUUGUUCAUUUUCUAUAGUUAAUUCCGACAUUUUUCAGCUAGACUAAACUCUCAUUCUAUAAUGAGUAAUUUUUUUUUUGACAAUUUAUUCUUAAUUUUGUUGAAGAGUAUAUAUUCAAUAUUUAACUUGCAAUUGAGUUCUUAUUAAUUUUUAGUUAAUUAAUUUAAUGUUUUGAUUUUUUAAAGUCCACUUCGGCUAGAUGACAAUACUUCCAACUUACAAGUCAUCAAAAUUUCCCAACAAGGUGUAUUAUUUGAGGAAAACAAAUUGAGACUAUGGAAUAAAAAACAAGGUACUUAAGGGGUCAAAAUUGCAUAAUUGAAAAAAUGGUAUAUUUUCAAAUUGAACACUUGAAAAACCUAGAGAGAAAAAAUUGCAUCUAAACCUAAUUUUUUUAAUAGUACACUAAUUAUUUAUAGUGUUUUAUAUUUUAGGCUUAACAAUAAUUUUGUCCCCUAUUUUUACUAAACAUACACUAAAACACUUGAGGUUUUAAGGUGAACAGCAAUCUAGGAUGAGUUUUACACUGUGUUUGAUAGAAGAGAAAUAAGAAAGAGAGAAAGAGGGAAGAGAGAAGUUGGAUAGAGAGAAGCAACUUCUCCUGUUUAGUUGAGAAUAGAGAUUAAAGAGAGAGACCAAAUAUGGUGGAACCCAUGCCUGUUUUAUUUCUUUCUUGAAUUGCGAAGAAAUAGAGUAGAGAUGUGAACUUUUUUUGCUCUUUUCCAAAACUAUCCCUGGUAUUGUGGCUAAUAUAAAACUAUUGUCCUUUUUUUUUUUUGUUAACACUGUUGUAUUGUUUUCAUGGUUUUUGUUGUAGCAAGGUAAAAACAAAAACUAAUACGCAACUCUCUUUCCUUUACCUCUUGAUUGGAAUCCUCUUAUAUUAUAAUAAAUAAAUUAAACUAGUAGUUAGUUAACUCUAAUGAAAUAGUUUAACCGAUUAAAUUGUAAAAUUGUAAAUAAAUAAUUAAUUAAGCAAAUAAGUUAUCAAAUUUCUUUGUAAAAAAAUUACUUAGUUUCUUAAUUAAAUUAAUGUAAAAAAUUAUAAGUUAUCAGUUUUUAUAAGAAUUCAUAUAUAAUAAAAUUGUAUAUUAAAGUUUAGUAAGGAUAUUUUGGUCUUUUCAAAAGUUUAACACACUUCUCUCUUCUCUAUUUCUCUCAUUUAUCUCUUAUACUAAACAAUAGGUCAAAUCUACUCUAUUUCUCACCUAUUUCUCUCUUCCUAUACUCUCUCUUCACAACUUCUCUCUUUAUAACUUCUCUCCUAAACCAAACACACCCUUAAAGUUUGGAGAAGGCUAACAACUUUCACUUAAGGCAUUGUUUAGGGCUUGCUGUUAAGGUAUAUACAAAGUUUACAAAAGUAAGUUUAAUUAAAUAUAGUUUUUCAAAAUUAAGUUUGAUUAAAAUGAGUUUGUUCUCGUGUGCUUUUUCUUUGGAUAAGUAAACCAAGGCAUUUCAAUUAUGUUGCCACUUCUUAUUUACUGUUACCUAUCAUAUGCAUUUGGUAUGUUGCGGUUUACUGCUAUUGAUCAUUCUGUUUGUCAAAAAAUCUAUUUGAUAAACAAUAAUGAAGAGGAUGUAAAAUUAGUUGGCUAGAGCUCAGUUAGUUAACUAGCUGGUAGUUUCAGUUACAAUACUGUCUUGGUUACACUACACUGCCUCUCAAUAGUAGCCAUUACAAGUCCAGGGCUCGCGACAUGAAACACGCCUUGGCAUCGUUGCAAUAGCAUGGUUCAAUCGAGGAUUCUUUAAUUCUCUUGCUCCCAAUAUCAAACAAAGUGCGAUUUACAUUACGAUUACAAUGAAGCAACUACAUAGUAGAACAAACUUAUUGCAUAGCCAUACGAUACAAAAAAGAGUGGAAUAAGUACAAAAUACAAACUAUAUAUCACAAAAAUGGCAUCAAGCUUGUCUUUCUCCUAUAGCUAGCAGAAUACAGAUAGAAGUGUAAUUGAUCAGUUACACUUGUCAAACUUAUUCUUCUUUGAUCAAUCAUAUAUUACUUUGACACCAUCCAUGAAACUCCACUUAUAUUAUCAUAUAUGUAACUAAUUAUCUAAAAGUAUAUUAUUUAUAUCCAUAAAAAAUGAAGAACGAGUAGAAUGUCUGAAGUGUUGGUAUGGGAGCUGUUCUGCCACCAAUAGGUAGAAAAGUCCCAUUACUCCGGUGUGCUCCUUGGUGCUGUUGUAGUUAGACUCUAGAGUUAAAGUUUCACCAUCAAUAAUCUUGACAGAACCUGGUUUAGGAUAACAAGUGGACAUUCCUACAAUGUAUCCCGCUUCAUUUCCUGCUUCGCUUCCAUUUCCAUAACUUGGUAUAGAGGAACAUAUAACCCUUCCAUCCUGAAAACAUAAUCCACAAAUUUCACAAAACAAGCCACUACACAAUGUUUAACUUCUUGAUCAAAAGUAAAAUUGUUAGAAUAGCAACUCCGGUUCAAAAGUAAACAGAUAUGAAAAACACAAAAAGAGAACAUACGAAAUUCGAUAAUGGCGUUCGGUCAAUUAUGUCUACCGUUUAGUUUAACAUAUUACAACUCGUGUAUAAAUACUAAGGUCAAGUUUACAAGAUAGCCCUUGAACCAUACCCGUGUUAAUAAACUCAACAAAAAGAAACAUUGACGGUCCUCAAUAGCUAAUAAAUCAAACUAUUUUCUUGUUAGCUAAACAUUUCUUACUAUCAAUUGAAAACAAUCACGUGCUAAGACUAAAAAAAAAGGUGAUAAUUUAUAGUUUAUUUUUAGAGGAAGAAUCAUUAUUAGAAAAUGAUAUAUCAGUUAUACAAUUGUUCUCGAGGGGGUUUGAACUCUGUCUCUUGAAGUCACAAUGUCAAAAUAUUCCCAUUGAGCCGACACCAAGCAUUUAAGAAUGACUUAAGUUACCUGUCCAUAUAGAGUUGAUCCAAUUCCGCCUGAAUGUUGAUGAGCAGCACCAUAGAUCAUAUAGCCACCAGUUUGAAAUGGGAGACUUGUCCUCUUCACAUGAACACAGGAAUUUCCCUCCUUAUGGUCUGUGCUGCAAGAUUCAACUUGAUACUCAUUCUGAAACAAAGAAAACCAUGUUGCUCACUAUAUACCCAAAGUUUUAUGUUUUAGAGUUAAAUUGAGAUUUACACAAACAAAGUACGUGUAUGGAUUCCCUGCAGUCGAGAGACUCUACAUUCAUACAAUCAGUAACACAAUAACUGUUGGAUCAAGAUUGACGAUAAUAAAUUCCAUGCCUGCAGUAUUUUGGAUUUUAGAACAAUCGAAAUCUGUAUAUUUUGUGAAUUGUCUGAUCCUGAUCCAACAGUACACUGAUGGAUUGAUUGCGUGAAUGCAGGGCAUCCCAACUACACGGAACCCAUUUCGACAAACAUGUUUCGUAAUGAAUGCAUUUACCUUGCAGUCAUGAUCUGAGUUCAUUCCUUUUGAAUUAUCUGAUAGUUUCAAAGUAUCAGUAACAUCAAGUAUAUAUAUCUUAACAGGCACUAUAAAAUCAUCCCAAUCAACCCAUUUAACAGUGUAUCUUAAGUAGAGGCUUCUCUUUGGACCCUCAAAACCUUCCUUCAACUUGCACUGUUUAGAAUCAUAACAACAUAACAAACCUCCUUUAUAAUCUGGCCUAAUAGACCUUCCAUAUUCAUCCACUGUAACAUUAUAAAGCUCACACUUACACUCAGUGCACCCUAAUUUAUCCUUUGUGCCUCGCGUAUCGAUGGCAUGAACAUUAAGCAACCAUUUUUCGUGAAACCCUUCUGGAAUCUCUUCAGGAUUGCCUAUCUCUAUACCGAAAGGAUCCGGAAUAUCGGUCGCCGUUCCACGUGUUUCGGAUCCAAGGCCAAAGUAUUGUCCAAGAGUAUUUCCUUGACAUAUGCCACUGUUCCUUAUAAGCACAUUAUCAGAGUUUUGUGUUGCAUGUUUACUUUGAUGAUAUCUUACAACAAGCCAAUGAUGGAGAUAAGUUUCAUGGAGAGGUACAGGAUUCCCUGAUUCGUCAACUACUUCAGCAUUGAAACUCUUGAGUGCUACAUGACCUCUUGGAAAACCAAUAUCAUAAUAAUAUCCAUUGACAACUGAUCCAGGUCCUAGCUCAAAUUUCGGGGACAAAAAUACAGCUGAUUUUAUCUUAGCUUCAGUCUUCAUAGAAGAACCUGAGCAUUGUAUACAUAACAACAGCAGAAACAUUGCCCAUAAUAAUACCAAAUCUCUAGCUACAAAACUCAUGUUGAUCUGUCAGGGAAGAAAUUAUUAGUUAUUAACUAACUAAUUGUUGAUUAAAGACAUACCAAAACAAGAUAAAUAAGCAUGGUUGGAUCUAACACAAAACUGAUUUGUGGAGUGAGGAGUGUCUCUCUUUAUAAACUCUAUUCGUUAGACGUUAUCUUUAGUCUAUCUAUGUGGGACUUGGUUUUUCCAAAACACUGAGUGACCCGAAUCGAUAUGCUCUGAUUUCAUAUUAGAUUUUUAUAUUAGACUUCAUUCAUCCUUACAAAAUCGGUUUAUGAAGUGGGGUGUAAGUCUUUUAUAAACUACUAAAAUCUAAAUUAAUGUUAUGAAUGAAUACAAUUGUGGUGGUCACAGAACAAUUUUAAAACAUUAAUUAUAACAUAAACUUAUGAGCAGACAACUUUUUAUGAUGAAAGUAAAAAGGUUUACCUGGAUAAAUUUAUAGGGAUAUAACAAGCAAUAGGCAGAAACAACAUGUAAGAGAUUGCGUACCUCAAAAAGUUUGACGAAAACUUAGAGUGUGUGUAGGUCGGUAUCAACAUUCAAAGUAUAUUUAUAGAUUAUUAAUGAAUGAAAGUGUACUAAAGAGCCACCUCAUCACGUGAGAACGUUCAACUAAAUCUGUCCUUUCAAACUUGGAGGAGAAGUAAAGUCCAAACGAGGUAUUUGGAUUAAAUUAUUUGUCUGUUUUGUUAUUUCUUCAAUUGGAUAUGCGUUGGAAAAUCUAUGGUCGACAACUUAAGGCAUUCACCACCUAGUCGACACACUUGUUAUGGUUUGGCUAUAGCCGGCCACUCUAGAAUUUAAAAAAAAGAAAAAUGAGAAAUUUCUUUUUUGACGAUUGAAAUUAGUUGUUAAUAUGUUUAGCGAUUGAAAUUGUGAUUGAUAUUUCAAACAUUAAAGUAUAAGAUAUUAAAAAUUGGUCGCUACUUACUGACAAUGUAUACAUUAUACGGUCUAAAAAUUCAAUUUUGAUAUUUUUAUUCAAAAUAGUCUAUCCUAAAAUUAUAAAUUAUACAAUUUAAUUCCAACAAUCACAAUGAUCGCAAAUUUCUAAAAUUAUUAGAAGGGAGUUUUUUUUUUUUAUUUAUUUAAGGACUAGAAGGGAGUUUAUUUCUAGAGUUUAGAGCAUAUAUGAUAUCGAUUAUUAUGAUAAAAUAUAUGUAUUUUAUAUAGCAUUUCCUCUCAAAUGAAAAAACAGAAGAUACAUCAAGAUCACGAAACUUUAAUUCAUCGUUUAAUCUUAAAAUUUAGUAUUUCUACAAGUAUAUUUAAAACAAAAUUUAGAAGAAGAAACUCUAUUAAAAUUUUAGAUAAUUCAACGAGUUUAAAUUAAAGAAUAAGAAUUUAAAUAUGUUGGGUUCAAAUCUGAACAAAAUAAUAAAUAUUAAUAUAACAACUAAUUAUCAAUACAACCUUAACAAAAUAGAAAUUUUUGAGAGAAACUUUAACAAGUUUUUUUUUUUUUUUUUUGACAAAACUUUAACAAUACGGAUUAAACACGGAAACCAAAUACGGAUAAUUAUAGGUAAAUUUAUAAAUGCCCUAUAAAAUAAUUUGAAACAUCCAAAUACGGAUUAAACACGGAAACCAAAUUCUAUGUAUUAUGUUGUCACUUUUAUAUGCUGGGUCAGCCAUGACGUUUUAGAGCGACAACUACAAGGAGGUAGACAAUUUUGUUAGGAAAUAAAAACAAUAUUUUGAAAAGGACAAUAAAUCGAAUCAUCAACAUUUUCCAGGGUACAAAAAUCAAAUAGAAGUGAGAAAGUCAGAGGCACAAUUGGACCAGAGAUGAAUACUAUUGAAAAACAUCAAAACAUACCAAAAGUAUAACAUAACUUAUUUGAAUAAUAUAUCUGUCAAAAGUUCUUUUCAACUUCUAAUUAUAAAAAGUACUAUAUAAGAUAAUUUGGUGAAUGAAAUCCCUCAAAUGAAAAAUAGAGAACAAAAAAAGUAUGUUUGAAGUCAAACUUAAUUUGUUUUACAUUUUUCAUUUUCAAAGACAAAAACAACUUAUAAUUAAAAAAAAGUGUCACGCUAACUUGUGUUUUCAAGAUUACAUUUCUACUUUAAUUUUUUUUUUUUUUUUUUUGACAAAAUGUUUAAUUUUUUAUCAUGUAUCUUUAAGGUACAAGUUAUGCCUUCCGGCACAAGUUACCAUUUACUUUAAAAUAAAUGUCCUCAAAUACAAGAUGCGAGGAAAAUCUAACAGAUUUAAGCUGACUAAGCAAAAAAACAAAUUACGAAAACAAAGCAUCCCAACGAUUACUACGUUCAUUGUAGCACGCAAUCACUUUAACAAAUUGUGCCAUUCUCCAAUCACACAUACAAGACUCAACCUACAUAAUUAUGCAGAUCACUCUAAUGAGAGACCCUGCACAAAUCCUUUCCCAAAAACUUGCAGCCACACUUAAAUAAUUAAACCUUGCACCAAUUACAUAAAUGAAAGUACAUUAGGUUAUGAAAAAGUACUUCUGUUUUAAAUGCAAUUUGUCUACUUCAAACUACACUUAGAAAAUUCACUUUUUCUAAUCUCAUUAGGAUAUGAAAAUUGCAUAAAUUAUGUUGGCUUAAAUGUACUUUUGGUCACCCAAAUUCACUUUUUUUUUUUUUUUUUCUGAAUUUUUCAUCCUCAUAGCAUUUUUGGAUUUAGGUUUGUGGUCUAUCCAUUAAUGACGUGGUAGAGCUUAUAUGGCCCCAUUAAACAUCCAUACUGAUACCAUAAAAAAAGGACCUAAGCAAAAAUAACCUAAAGCAAUGUAUUGUGGCAAAAUUGGUUACUGUUGACGUAUGUUUUCGUAAGCAUAGCUUUCCCUUUCAAGCCAAAUGGAGCUUCUUCAUCAGCUCACAAUUAGGACUCUAAUCAGAUACAUUUCAUACUAAAUGGAAGUCCCUUUUGCAUUACAAUUGCAAUGAAGCAGGUACAUGGUAGAACAAACUUCUCACAUUAUCACAUAGCUAGCUGAAUAGAGAGAAGUGUAAGUAUUCGGUUGCCCUUAACAAUUAAUCACUCAUAUUUUACUUUGAUACCAUCAAUGACACGCCAUUUAUAUUAUGAUUUAAGUAACUAAUUAUCUAAAAGUAUAUUAUUUGUCCAUAAAAAAUGAAGAACGAGUAGAAUGUUCUGCCACCAAUAGGUAGAAAAAUCCCAUUACACCAGUGUGUUCUUGGCUAUUGUUGUAGUUAGACUCUAGAGUUAAAGUUUCACCAUCAAUAAUCUUGAUUGAACCUGGUUUAGGAUAACAUGUGGACAUUCCUACAAUGUAUCCCACUUCAUUUCCUGCUUCGCUUCCAUUUCCAUAACUUGGUUUGGAAGAACAUAUAACCCUCCCAUCCUGAAAACAUAAUCCAUCAAUUUCACAAAACAAGUUAUUGAUCUAUUAUACCAUGUUUAACUUCUUAAACAAACCAGUAUACAAUGAAAACAAGCACCGAUAGUCCUCAACUGCUAAUUAUUCACACCAUUUACUUGUUAAUUAAACAUUUGCUAACCUCAAUCGAAAACUAUUACAUGAACAAAUAGAAGGGAUUAUAUAUAAUCACAAAGUAGUGUUGUCUCGGAGUCCGACUAUACAUCUUUAAUCUCAAGUGUCGGUACUUCCAAGUAUUUAAGAAUUAGUAUAAUCUAUCUUUAACUAUUGGAAAUUACCUGUCCAUAUAGGGUGGAUCCAAUUCCACCUGAAUGCUGAUGUGCAACACCAUAGAUCACAUAUCCACCAGUUUGAAAUGGGAGACUUGUCCUCUUCACAUGAACACACCCAUUUUCCUCCCUAUGGUCUGUGCUGCAAGAUUCAACUUGAUACUCAAUCUGAAACAAAGAAAUCCAUGUUGCUCACUAUGAUACCCAACAAUGGGCUAGUGUUACAUUUAAGAGUUAAAUCGAGAUUGAGACAAAUAAAUUACUAAUUUGGAUUCCUAGCAGCCGAGAGACUCUACAUUCACGCAAUCAGCACAGACUGUUGGACCAAAGAUCAGAAGGUCCUAGAUUUCAAGCUCGGUAUUUUGGAUUUUAAUCAAAAUAAUCAAUAUUCGUAUAUUUUGUGAACUGACUGGUCUUGAUCCAACAUUCAUUGAUGCAUUGACUGUGUGUUUCUUGAUGAAUUCAUUUACCUUGCAAUCAUGAUCAAAGUUCGUUCCUUUUGAGUUAUCUGAUUGUUUCAUACUAUCGGUAACAUCAAUUACAUAUAUCUUAAGAGGCACUAUAAAAUCAUCCCAAUCAACCCAUUUAACAGUGUAUCUUAAGUAGAGGCUUCUCUUUGGACCCUCAAAACCUUCCUUCAACUUGCACUGUGUACAAUCAUAACAACAUAACCAACCUCCUUUAUAAUCUGGCCUUAUAGACCUUCCAUAUUCAUCCACCGUAACAUUAUAAAGCUCGCACUUACACUCAGUGCACCCUAACUUAUCCUCUACGCCACGUGUAUCAAUGGCAUGAACAUUAAGCACCCAUUUAUCCUCGGACCCUUCUGAAACCUCUGCAGGAUUACCUAUCUCUAUACCAAAAGGAUCCGGAAUAUCUGUUGCUGUUCCUCGUGUUUCGGAUCCAAUGCCAAAGUAUUGUCCAAGAGUAUUUCCCUGACAUAUGCCACUGUUCCUCACUUUCACAAUAUUAGAACUUUGAAGCAUCCUUUUGCCAUCAUUUCUUGUGUGUGUGACAUGUUUACUUUGAUGAUAUCUUCCAACACCCCAAUGAUGGAGAUAAGUUUCAUGGAGAGGUAUAGGAUUACCAACUUCAUCAACUACUUCAGCAUUGAAACUCUUGAGUGCAAUAUGACCUCUUGGAAAAUCAAUAUCAUAAUAUUCUUUAUUGAUAACUGAUCCAGGUCCUAACUCGAAUUUUGGGGACAAAAAUACAGCUGAUUUUAUUUUAUUUUCAGCAUUCAAAAAAGAACUUAAGCAUGGUGAGCCAAACAAUAGCAGAAGUAUUGCCACUGAAAAAUGAAACUCUCUAGGUACAAACCACAUGUUGAUCUGCCAGAAAAAUAUUUAUUAGUGAUUCACUAAAUGUUGAUUAAAGAAAUAUUAAAUAGAUACAGAUUGCAACAAUUGUAUUAUUUUCAUAAAAUUUUCUGACAAGAUACUUCAAGAGAAGGCAAUCAGAGAUGAGUAUAAUGAUCAACAGGUAAAUCUAGAGGUAGAAAAUAAAUCACAAAGAGACGUUAAAAAAUUUAAUGUUUUGACUGCUGUUUGCAAAGAAUAUUUUUAAAACCUUAAUUAUGACAUAAACUUAUGACCAAACAUGUUUUGACCAAACAUUUUUUCUUUUUUUUUGAAGGAACCAAACAUGUUUUUUAGAAACAUGAAAUUGGCAGCAGGAGCAUGUAAAAGAAAAGAACAUGAAAUUAAGUUGUGUACCUCAGAAAGAUAAUCUGGAAACGACUCUUAAGUUCUUUGAAGUAUGUUGUAGUCUUUGUGGCUUAAGUUCUAUCUUAAGCAUUUCUUUUUUAUUUUUUUGCUAAUCUAUCUUAAGCAUUUCUUGUUCUUAAUAGAUAGUAUUAAUAUAUUUAUUUCUUUGCCUCUUCAAAAAAAGUAUGCUGUCGUUUUUAUGUGCUGGGUCAGCCAUGAUGUAUUACAGCAACAUUUUUUAGUUUAUCUUGGAGGUAGGUAAGUCAAAGUGAGGUUUAUCUAACUUAACCUUGGUUAUAACCGGUUAUGUCAUUUGUCUUAGAGUUUCAGAGUUGAAUUUUUAAGCAAGGACAAAAGUUAUGGUGCAUAAGCCAUUUCCUUCUGCACAGUUCAUAAACACUUCACAACCAUCAGAUUUCUUUUAUUUUGUGUUUGUCAUUUCUCUCUCUACUCUUUUGAAAAACAAAUUUUCUCUCACUCUCUCUAAGAAACUGAUCUGGGAUGAAGUUUCAUCUUCUACACACCUCCGGCCGCCCUAGGGCAGCGGUGGCGCCGCCGGAGUAUUAGGAAAUGGCUCCGAUUUCAAAAAAAAAUUCACUUUUAAAAAUCAUUUUCCUUCUAUAAUCCAACUUCAGACUCGGUUUUCAGAGAUAAACAACCAAACAGUGUAGAUCUAGGUUUUAACUUUGUUCCCAUUCCUUUCGUUUGCGUUCGAUUUCCUUCUUCUUCUGCUCCUUCGCCGCCGCUUUCUUAUAUGCUUUCUUUGCUUCCCAUCUCUGCUGUCUCGCUAGCUACUUCUUCGUGUUCUUGGGGAGUUCUGAAGUGGGUUGUGAUGGUUCUGGGUUUGGAGGUGGAACUGUGGAUUCGGGUUCGUGAUUUUCACCAUAACUGCACGAAUUUCCGCACCCAUGGGCGGGAUUUACUGCUGGAAACCAUUAAGUACAUCUAAUAGUUUUGGAGUACAACUGCCGGAAACCAUUAAGUAGAUCUAAUGGUUUUCCACGGCAAAAUGGUUUUGGCAUUCCGGUACGGUGAUGCUAACAGUGAUGAUGAUGAACGACGGUGUUGAUGAUGAGAUUUAAGAUUCUGGAAACCAUUUCCACAACAAAAUGGGUUUGUAGUACAACUCACAGAAACCAUUUACACAGCAAAAUGGUUUUGGCAUUCCGGUACGGUGAUGAUGAUCAAUGACGGUGUUGAUGAUGAGAUUGAAGAUUCCAGUGGUGAUGAUGAUGAACGACGGUGAUAAUUCAGUUUGUUUUCACGUUUUGUUUGUUUUGUUUUGUUUGGUUUUCUUUGGGGGUGUAGGAAACAAUUAUGUUGGGAUUUAUGCACCAUAACCGAUCUCAUUUUUAAGUGGUGAUGGAAAACGUUAUAUUUAUCUUUUUUUUUUUAAAGAAACAAACUCAAUUCAUUUCAUUAUAAAUCAUGGACCAGAUACAUGACAGUACAUCAUUGUAGAGGUGGGAGCUAGCAUUACAUAUGCUAUCUUUGAUAGUUCAUGAGCGACCCUGUUAGCUUGCCUCUGCCUAAACUUGACAUGAGAAUUUAGAAAAUUGUUUUGAAACAAUUGCUUACAGACAUAUAUAAUACAACCGAACUCAGUGACAUCAUUUAUACAUGUUCUAAAGGAAUCAACAACCUUCUUAGAAUCUAACACAAAGUCUACAUUAUCAAACUGAAGGUUUGCCACCCAAUCAAGUGUCGUACAUAAACUCAUUGCUUCACCCGCAUUGACGUCACAAAGCGGGGAGAACCAGGUACUUUUUGCAAGCAUAAAAUUACCCUCUUCGCCUCUAAGACAUUCCAAGUCCUACCUUAUUAAGCGACGAGGAGAACGAGGCAUCUAUUUUUCAUUUAUACCUUCUAGGGGCCGGUUUUACCCAUUGUUACCAAGCUAUAAGAGUCGGCCCAUGUGGAUCAGAACUAGAGGGAGUUACACUACCUAAACGAAUGACUUGUGCAUGUCUCCAUUCAUCCAUCAACUACUUUGCACGCUCUAUAACCUGCACAUUAGUCUCGUUAGUUUGUUGCCAAAGUUUCAGGUUUCUGUGUUCCCAUAGGCUCCAUAGUAUUGCUGCAAAAUUUUCACUCUGUAUUGGAGUAAGUUGUUGCUACAAAGUAAAAAUAACAGAAUUCAUAUUAUAAUCCUGACGAAGCACACGAUCAAUCUUAUCCCAUAAAUUCACGGCAUGCCAAACUUGCACAGCACUCAAGCAUUCCAAUAAAACAUGAAUGAUGUCCUCGUAAUUAUUUCUACAAAUUACACAUUCGGUUGGACAAGACACACCUCUACUACUACGUUGUGCUCGAGUGGGGAAACGAAACAGCCCAGACACACGCCACAAGAGAUUUUUUAUCUUGGGGGGAGAUUUAAUGUUCCAAAUUAAGUCCCAACGACCAGAUUUAUGCAAAUGAAUAUUGUCAACAAUUUCAUUCAUACAUAUUCUGUAAGCACUGCGAACGAAAUACCUACCAUUUUUUCAGCCUUUCCAAACCAAUUUUUCACAGUCAAAUGGGCAGUAUGUUGAUCAAAUAAGUUAUAAAUUAAAAGAGCAUUUCAUACUCUUUGCUGCUCUCUUUCACAUCGUUCACAUUCAAUGGGAAACAUGGUUACUUAUCUAAACAUUUCUCUCUCAAGUUUACUUUACUAUUAUGGUUUUUUGGGAGUUUCUUCGCUGCUCUCUUUCACAAUGCCUCCAGUUCUUCUUCUUUCACUAAUUUUUUCCUUCCCACAGUUGUUACAUGGUAGAACAGACUUCUAGCAUAGCCAUAUGAAACAAUAUAGUGGAUUCAGCCAAAAUUACAAAUUUGUUUUUCUCCUAUAGCUAGCUGAAUACACAGAAAUGUAAAUUAUUCAGUUACCCUUUUCAAUCAUCAUGUCUUUAUUCAUCUUUGAUAAAUCAAUCAUAUUUUACUUUGAUACCAUCAAUGACACGCUAUUUAUAUUAUCAUAUGUGUAACUAAUUAUCUGAAAACUUUACAUCCACUACAAAAGAAGAACGAGAAGUAAGUCUAAGUUGUUGGUAUGGGAGUUGUUCUGCCACCAAUAGGUAGAAAAGUCCCAUUACUCCAGUGUGCUCCCUGGUGCUGUUGUAGUUAGACUCUAGGGUUAAAGUUUCACCAUCAAUAAUCUUGACAGAACCUGGUUUAGGAUAACAUGUGGACAUUCCUACAAUAUAGGUUGCCUCAUUUCCUGCUUCAUUUCCGGUUCCAUAACUUGGUAUAGAAGAACAUAUAACCCUCCCAUCCUGAAAACAUAAUCCACAAAUAUCACAAAACUAGUAAAUGUAAAAAAUACAGUGGUUACUUCUUGAUCAAAAGUAUAAGAAACACUGAUAGUACUAAAUUGCAAAUAUAUGAUGCUAUUCUCUUCUUUGUUAAACAUUUUCUACCCUUGAUUGAAAACUAUUACAUGAACAAAUAGAGGUGAUUAUAUAUGAUAAAAAAUGUCAAUAUUGUCUCGGUGUCCGACACUACGACACAUCUUUAAUCUCAAGUAUCAAUGCUAUAUUAGGUGUAAAUAUAGAAUCCCUCUUAAGGGGCAGAAUCAUGAUUGAUUAUACCCUUCCAGAUUGUAGUGGGAGACUUGUCCUUUUCACAUGAACACACCCAUUUCCCUCCUAUUGAUCUGUGCUGCAAGAUUCAACUGAUACUCAACCUGAAACAAAGAAAUCUACGUUGCUCGCAAUAUACCUAACAAACUACUGGACUAGUGUUAUAUAUGUUUUAAGAGUUAAACUAAGAUUGAGAAAAACAAACAAUGAGCAUGGAUUCCCUGCAGUCGUGAAACUCUACAUUCAGGCAAUCAUCGCAACAAUCACUGAUUAAUUGACUAACUAAAUGCUGAGUAUAUUCUACUACACGGAAUCUAUUUCCACAAACUAAAUGUUUCUUGAUGAAUGCAUUUACCUUGCAAUCAUGAUCUGAUUUCAUUCCUUUUGAAUCAUCUGAUAGUUUCAAACUACCAGUGACAUCAAUUAUAUAUAUCUUAACGGGCACUAUAAAAUCAUCCCAAUCAACCCACUUUACUGUGCAUCUUAAGUAAAGGCUUCUCUUAGGUCCUUCGAAACCUUCCUUCAACUUGCACCGUGUAGAAUCAUAACAACAUAACAAACCUCCUUUAUAAUCUGGCCUAAUAGAUUUUCCAUACUCAUCCACUGUAACAUUAUAAAGGUCACACUUACAUUCAGUGCACCCUAAUUUAUCCUCUGUGCCACGCGUAUCGAUGGCAUGAACAUUAAGCAACCAUUUCUCCUCAAACCCUUCUGGAAUCUCUUCAGGACUACCUGUCUCUAUACCAAAAGGAUCUGGAAUAUCUGUUGUCGUUCCUCGUGUUUCUGAUCCAAGGCCAAAGUAUUGUGGAAUGGUAUUUCCCUGGCAUAUGCCACUGUUCCUUACAAGAACAUGAUCAUAGUUUUGAAGCAUCAUGUGGCUACCAUCUUCUGUGUGUGUGACAUAUUUUCUUUGAUAAUGUCAUUCAACAAGCCAAUGAUGGAGAUAGGUUUCAUGGAGGGGUAUAGGAUUACCAUCUUCAUCAACAACUUCAGCAUUGAAACUCUUGAGUGCUAUAUGAUCACUUGGAAAAUCAAUAUAAUAAUAAAAUCUAUUGAUAACUGAUCCAGGUCCAAGUUCAAACUUAGGGGACAGAAAAACAGCUGAUUUUAUUUUAUUUUCAGUCUUCUCAAAAGAACUUAAGCAUGGUGUGCCAAACAAUAAUAGAAGUAUUGCUACUGACAAUUCAAAAUCUCUAGGUACAAACCACAUGUUGAUGAUCUGCCAGAAAAAUAUUUACAAGUAAUUAACUAAUUUUUUAUUAAAGAAAUAUUAAACAGAUGCAGAAUCAAGCUUUCAUUAAACAAGGAAGACAAUGUUUGCAAAUUGCACAUGCACAACAAUAUUAAAAAAGGCAAGAUAAACUACACAAAUAUGCAUGAAAAAACAUAGUUUGAACACAAUCAAUACGGAGCAAAAGCAUGCAGAAGAGAAGAUGGAAUGGCUUGAGUUGCGUUCCUCAGAAAGAUAGUUUGGAAAUGGCAGAGUUGAGCUUUGUUUGACGAGAAAACUAGCUACUAUUCGAAGUAUUUUU
rnacentral:lncRNA from 1 species